AGAGAAACACCAAGAAGAGGAGUAAAAUAAAGGCCACAACUAGAAAGAAGAGAGUGCCAAAACCUUGAUCAACUCACAGAAGCCGAAAAUUUGUGUGGAGAGAGAGAGAGAGAUCUUAAAGAGGGAGAGAGAAAUUGUCGAUGGGAAACUGUUUUGCUAGCAAGCCUUUGAUUUACCCUACUGGACAGAUCGAUGUGCACUUAGAGAAGUCCAACUCCGACGGGAUUUACGCUGCUAGAAAAAUGAAUGUACCCAUAGAGAGGCUCAUCUCAAAUGGGGAAUCAGUGAGAGUGUGCCAAGUAAAGGUUCGGAUGAGAAAGGCUGAGUUCAUGGAUUUGAUCUCAGAGGUAGAGAUGAGCAAUAGAAAGGUUGAGCUCGGAUGGUUGAUCAUGGACAGAUGCCGGAAAGAAGGAACCAAGUAUAUCAUUAGUAACUGCGAGAGUGUGGAUCCUGUGAGCCUUGAGCCUAUAAAAGAGGAGACCGGCUACUAGGUUCCCAUUACUAGGCCUCCCAAUAUAGAGGAGCUCUAUUAUCUUCUGGUGAGAUUAGCAGGGUUGGGCAGGACCUACAAUGCAUGUGUUAUGGAUGCCUUAACAUCAGUAUCUGCUUCUUCUCCUCUCAACAUUACAAAUUUGAAAAAUGGGCAUGAGUGUGGUGCUCGAGCUAUGGUGGAUGAAGCUUGCCAUGGUUCUCCAUCUGAUGGAGAAGGAGAUCCUAUACUUAUAGAUGCAGAGCCAGCCCUAGCAAGAGGUGCAAGUAUCGAACCGGCAAUAAGAAUGGCAUUUACUGAUGAAGAAGAAGCUUAUGAUUAUUAUAAUAAGCACGUAAAAUUGGUAGGAUUUGGUAUAAGAAAGGGAAGGACCAUAUGGAAACAUGAUGGAAGAAUUAGUCGGAUUUUAGAAUAUUGAAGGUAAGGUUUUCGUAGUGAGAUGUAUGAUGGGAGUGAAAAUGCUUGCCCCCACACAAAAUGUGGAUGUCAGGCAAAGAUCUGCAUUAAGAAGGAUGACAAAAAUAGAUGGGUUAUUGCGAAGGUUGUAAAAAAACAUAAUCAUAUUCUCAUAAUGCCCAACAAGACUAGAUUCAUUCGCUCUCAUCAAAAGAUACUAAAUACAUUGAAGAAGGUGAUUGACACAUUGGAGUCUAGGGUUAUGAUGGAUUUCCUCAUUGAAGAGGCCGAGAGGCAGAAAAUGUCACUUUCAUUAAGAAAGACCUUGAGAAUCACAUAACUAAAAAAAAAAAUAACUGAAAGGAAAAGAGGGUAAUGUUGUUAAGAAUUGGUUGCAUAUGAAGAAUGAAUUGGACCCUAACUUCUUUUAUAGAGUUCGACUUGAUGAGAUGGGGAGGUUGUUUGGUGUUUUAUGAGUUGAUUCAAAGUGUAUAUUAUCAUACCAAUUUUUUAAUAACGUGGUAACCUUUGACACCACAUACCAAAGAAAUGAAUACAGUAUGCCUUUUGGCCCAAUCCUUGGAGUUAAUCAUCACACUAACACAAUUUUUCUCGGAUGUGAUCUCAUCUUCAAUGAACUACAUAAACCUUCACUUGGUUAUUUGAGAACCAGCUAAAGGCAAUGGGAGGUUGCCAACCAAGUACAAUUAUCACUGAUCAGGCUUUAGCUAUAAUGACAACAGUUAAGAUCGUUUACCCAAAUACUAAUCAUCACUAUUGCAAGUGGCACAUCAUGAGAAAGUUUAAAACACAUCUAAGCAAUGUUGAGCGUGCGCACCCAUUAUUCUUAGAAGUAUUCAAGAAGUGUAUUGCAGCCUACACAAUUGAGCAGUUUUUGGCUGAUUGGUUGGCUAUGAUUCAGAAAUAUGAUCUUCAAGAGGAAAGUUGGCUCAAGUGGUUAUAUGGUUAUCGCACUGAAUGGGUUAAUGCAUACAUAGUUGAUAGAUUCACAGCCGGCAUGAAAACCACACAACGAAGUGAAGGGUUCAAUCGUCAUUUAAAGAUGCAUGUCACUUCUGGUACAAGUUUGCAAAAAUUCAUGAAUGCUAUUGAAAAGUUACAAAAAAAGAAGUUCAUCAAAGAAAAAGAGAAAGAUAGUAAAGAUCUUACAUCCACACCUGUUUUAAAGACAACCUUCCUGAUCAAGGAGCAUGCAGCAAGGACACACACUCAUAAAGUAUUUAAAAAGUUCAAAGAAGAUGUUGUAAGGUCCUCAAAUUGGCUUAGCAAAUUAAUCGAAGGCAAUGAUGAAUUUGCCAAAUAUAAGGUGGAAGACAUUCACGGUGUGCCAAGCCCUAGGACGGUUACAUUCAUUUAAUCAGGGAAGAAGUGUACAUACACAUGUUAAUUCUUUGAGCGUGUUGGAAUCCCUUGUUCACAUAUGCUCAGAGUAUUCAACAUGAGGAAUAAAUUGAAGAUCCCAUCUAACUACAUUUUGAGCCAUUGGACAAUAGAUGCGAAGAAGGGUGUCAAAGACAAAUGUGGUGCUAGUAGUUCGACUAUUUCUAAAUUUCGAGUUUCAUUCGAUGUCAUGAGCUUUAUGACCUUGUGAGAACAAUUGUAGAGUCAGUAUUAUAAAAUGAUGAUCUAUUUGAAAAAGUGAAGUUGAGUUUCUCCAAGUUAGCUGAGGAGGUCAAUGUAAUAAGAGAGUCUUUGUCGAAUACUUAUGCACCAUCAACCUCCACUCAUUGCAAUGCCGAUGAAGAUGAAGUAUGUGGCAGUAUUAGAUCAGUUGCAUUCAGAGUUGUCCACUAAUUCCACUAAGGGCACUAGAGUCUAUGAGGAUAUUCACUAUCCUUUCAGGCUUCAAGCUAAUGCCUCCCCCCUUAUCCUCAAUCCACCAUGUGCACGAGCAGUUGGAUGACCAAGGACUAAAAGGAUAAAACCUUCAUGGGAGGAAGGGCCGAAAUCUUCUACGCAAAUAAAACAGCCAGAGGAAAAACCACCCACUAGAAGAAAGUGUAAAAUUUGCAAUAAAAGUGGACAUGACAGGCGUAACUGUCCGGUGAGGACGCGUGGGAUAGCUAUUGCAGACCUCGAACUGAGUUGAAGCCAUGACAUACAAAGGGGCUGCAAUUGCAUGGAGGAUAUGACAAAUUGUGACACUGCAUUCGCCUCAAGGAUUUUUUUAUGUUGACUAAUUUUUUGAAUUUUGGAGGCAUGUAAAAACCCAUUUUUGUAGUUUACUUUGGGGGUUAUGUGAAUAUUCAAUGAAUUUUACGGGCAAAUAAGAGACCUAUUUAUGGGGCAUGUAAGGGACUUGAUUAAUUUUUUGAAUUUUGAAGACUUGUAAAUACCCCUUUUUGUAGUUGACUUUGGAGGGUUAUGUGAAUAUUCAAUAUUCAUGUAAUUUUUAUGGGGGUAUGUACAAGACCU